rnacentral:lncRNA from 1 species
UGAAAAGAACUGAAGCAUUUGGGCAUCAGUCUGCUGAUCAGGCCAAACAACACAAGACCAAAUUAAUCAACAUUACAGCAAAAGUGAGCUCCACUGGAGAAAAUGUUUUCGGUGGAUGGUAUAGCUAGCUACAAGGAAUCUAAAGCAGCCUGGAACAUGGCCACAAGGAAUCUCAGCAGUGAACUUGGGAAAAGGAAGUCUAACGUGGUGUGUAUUUCUUUGCUUCCAGGAAUGUAAGCACUGAUUUAUCAAAAUCUUAUCGCAAGAACAUUCUUAGUCAUAAACUUUUCACCCCAGAAUUCUCAGUAAAUCGUGUGUUUUAUAUUAUUGAGAACAUUGACAUGUUCUCAAUGGAAGAUGGGAAGACCCAUCCCAUCUUUGCUUGGGAUGGAUCUAUAGUACCUUGGUAAAAUUCCCUUUAUGGAGGCAGCCGGUAUUGUAUCAAUAAGAAUAUAAAUGCCUUGAGAGAUUUGUGCUUUAUAUAGUUAUUUUUGGUGUAGCUUAUUCUGGAGGAUCUGAGAGAUAAUGGAAUUGAGUCCUACCUUUACUAAUGGUAAGCUGUAUGUCUGAGCAAAUAACUUCAUAUUUUUCUUUCCUCGGACCACUAUUUGGUAAUUUGCAAUGAUAAUACUUUCUACACUGUGGACUUCUGUGAAACGAAAUAUAUUGCAUAUUACUGGCUGCACACAUUCUUGGUAGGCUGUAAUCAUUCAGAACAUUAGCUAGGUUCUGCUCAUAGAGUUUCAAAUCAUUUCUCAAUUUCAAUGAGCUUGCUUAUUAUCAGUUAACUUUUUUUUAAAAAAAGACACCCCUGUUUCUUUUAAUUUAGCCUCUAAAUAGUGGUGGAAUUUAAAGUGGUAUUCUAGUAAUAUGACUCUG